rnacentral:lncRNA from 1 species
UAAAAAAGUAUAAAUAUAAAAAAUAUUUAUCCAAACUCAGUUUGUUAUUAUCUAAAAGUUUACCGCACUAUUUAAUAAUCCCUAGUGAAACUAUUCCCUCGGCAGUAUCGUAGCUGAAAAGAAACCUGCUUUUCUAGCAAAAGUUGCCGACGAAAGUUCUCUAUGAAAAUCUCCGCCCUCUGGUCAAUGUCUUCCUCAGAAGCAUAACUUCUGGUCCUUUGAAGGGCUCGAACUGACUGGUUUUCAUCUGUUUCUACAUCUUCAAUGCACCCAUGCAAUCCUAACCGAUCGUUAAAGCUCAAACGCCGCCGCCUCUUAGAGGCAUUGUGGAUAAUUGAAUCUAAGCGCCACCGCCUGAGGUUAAAGCUUAAUAGAAACUUCAGCUUCUUCACCGCCCUCUUCACGUGGCCUAGCACCUUCAUGUUUGAAGAUCAGGCGAGUGUUUGAUGCAAAGAAGCGAGUG